rnacentral:lncRNA from 1 species
CCACUCCAGACUCUCCAAGAUAUGCAGAGCUUUGGGCCAGGAUCCUACAGCCACGGGUCAUGCAGAGCCAGUUGGCCACAUCCUUUGGGCCAAAUUUGGUCCUAACCAGGUCUUACCACGGUAACUGCUAACCAGUCCAUCUUCAGUUAAUAUUUCAUGCGUAAGAUGUUUCAUGAAGUAACUGAAUGGGCUAAUGGGUUGUUCACUGGAUAAGACUCCCAGAUACUCCCUUUCAUGCCAUUCCCCAGAAUUCCUUCACCUCCCAGUGCUGUCUGUAAGGGUGAAGAUACUCCAUUUUGCCCCAUGCUCUUUGCUGUGCCCCAGAUAGGCUCAAACAUUUUUCCCUUUUGGGGAUUUUGCAGGUAGGAAUUGUUGAACAUCUUACCAUUUAAUCCAGAAGUUAUGUCCUUUAAGGAAUCGAC